CCUGCCCCUAAAGGCAUUGCAGGUGUGGCUGCUGUGUCACAUGUAGGUGGCAGGGAAGAGAGAUGCUAUGUCUAAAUUCAGUAUUCUGAUCUAUGAACCUCUGAAUUAGUAACCUAACAUU
rnacentral:snoRNA from 1 species